AUUGAACGCUGGCGGCAGGCCUAACACAUGCAAGUCGAACGAGCGGCGGACGGGUGAGUAAUGUCUGGGAAACUGCCUGAUGGAGGGGGAUAACUACUGGAAACGGUAGCUAAUACCGCAUACUAUCGGAUGUACCCAUAUGGGAUUAGCUAGUAGGUGGGGUAACGGCUCACCUAGGCGACGAUCCCUAGCUGGUCUGAGAGGAUGAUCAGCCACACUGGAACUGAGACACGGCACAGACUCCUACGGGAGGCAGCAGUGGGGAAUAUUGCACAAUGGGCGCAAGCCUGAUGCAGCCAUGCCGCGUGUAUGAAGAAGGCCUUGGGGUUGUAAAGUACUUUCAGCGGGGAGGCGUUACCCGCAGAAGAAGCACCGGCUAACUCCGUGCCAGCAGCCGCGUUAAUA
rnacentral:rRNA from 1 species